GGGCGCUUAGCUCAGCGGUAGAGCACUUCCUUGACAUGGAAGGGGUCAGAGGUUCAAUCCCUCUAGCGCCCACCA
rnacentral:tRNA from 1 species